GACCAAGAAGUCUAACAUGUGUGCGAGUCAUUGGGUAUUUUGUUGAAACCUAAGGGCGAAAUUAAAAUAACUAUUUUAUGGGAUUACAAGUGAAUUAAAUUUCAUUUCUUCAUCCCGGGGCGUUCUAUACGAACAUGGUGCAAGCAAUUGAACCCUCUGUUCAAGAGCGUACCUUGAGCAUACAUGCUGUGACCCGAAAGAUGGUGAACUAUACCUGAUCAGAUCGAAGCCAGGAGAAAUUCUGGUGGAGGAUCGAAACAGUUCUGACGUGCAAAUCGAUUGUCAGAAUUGGGUAUAGGGGCGAAAGACCAAUCGAACCAUCUAGUAGCUGGUUCCCUCCGAAGUUUCCCUCAGGAUAGCUGGCGCAAAGAAUUAUAUUGUAUAUAAUCUUAUCUGGUAAAGCGAAUGAUUAGAGGCCUUGGGGCCGAAACGACCUCAACCUAUUCUCAAACUUUAAAUGGGUAAGAACCUCAUCUUUCUUGAUCUGAAGAUAUUGGGGUUUAGAUAUAUUGUGCCCAGUGGGCCACUUUUGGUAAGCAGAACUGGCGCUGUGGGAUGAACCAAACAUGAUGUUACGGCGCCUAAAUUAAUGACUCAUAUUGAUACCAUGAAAGGCGUUGGUUGCUUAAAACAGCAGGACGGUGGACAUGGAAGUCGUAAUCCGCUAAGGAGUGUGUAACAACUCACCUGCCGAAGCAACUAGCCCUUAAAAUGGAUGGCGCUCAAGUCAUAUGCCUAUACAUCAUCGCUAGAAUAAAAAUUGUUAAUCGAUUUCGGUUAUCAUUAUGAAAUUCUAGUGAGUAGGAGGGUACAAUGGUGUGCGCAGAAGUGUUUGGCGUGAGCCUGCAUGAAGCCGCCAUUGGCACAGAUCUUGGUGGUAGUAGCAAAUAAUCGAAUGAGAUCUUGGAGGACUGAAGUGGAGAAGGGUUUCGUGUGAACAGUGGUUGAUCACGAGUUAGUCGGUCCUAAGCUUUAUGCGAAAGCUGUUUAAUUUAUGUUACAUACAAAAAUUUUGUUGUACAUAAUUCAAUAAAAGCGAAAGGGAAUACGGUUCCAAUUCCGUAACCUGUUGAGUAUACGUUUGUUUAUUAAAAAUGGGUCUUAUUACACUCAUCCUGGCAACAGGAACGACCAUAGAGAAGCCUUCGAGAGAUACUGGAAGAGUUUUCUUUUCUGCUAAACAAACGUAUCACCAUGGAAGUCUUUUAUAGAGAGAUAUGGUGAAUGGAUUGGAAGAGCAUGACAUUUACUGUUGUGUCAGUAUUUUCUCCUUGGACCUUGAAAAUCUAUGGUGGGGCCACGCAAACUUCUCAACAGACCGUACCGAUAUCCGCAG
rnacentral:rRNA from 1 species